GAUGAACGCUAGCGGCAGGCCUAAUACAUGCAAGUCGAGGGGCAGUCAAUCUUUCGGGAUUGAGCGACCGGCGCACGGGUGCGUAACGCGUAUGCAACCUACCCUGUACAGGGGGAUAGCCCGUGGAAACAUGGAUUAAUACCCCAUAAUGUUACAAUAUCGCAUGGUAUAAUAAUUAAAGUUCCGGCGGUACAGGAUGGGCAUGCGUAUGAUUAGCUAGAUGGUGAGGUAAUGGCUCACCAUGGCGACGAUCAUUAGCGGGUCUGAGAGGAUGAUCCGCCACACUGGUACUGAGACACGGACCAGACUCCUACGGGAGGCAGCAGUAGGGAAUAUUGGUCAAUGGACGAGAGUCUGAACCAGCCAUGCCGCGUGAGGGAAGACGGCCUUCUGGGUUGUAAACCUCUUUUAUCAGAGAACAAAAAGUCCCUGCGGGGAAAAUUGAGUGUAUCUGAAGAAUAAGCACCGGCUAACUCCG
rnacentral:rRNA from 1 species